GGCUGUAUAAAAUCUGCCCCAUGAUUACCCACUUCGCUGCCAGGUUUGCAGAGGCUUAAACACCUGGAAGGAAUAUAUGCGCGGAUGAAUCCCUGAUGAAGUAUAAGGGAAGGCUGGGAUUCAAGCAGUAUGUUCCUUCCAAGCGCUCUAGGUAUGGUGUAAAGAUGUAUAAGCUCUGUGAUAGCGAGACUGGGUAUACUCUGGCCUUCCGGGUGUACGAGGGAAAGGAUAGCCACCGUGACCCUCCAGGUUGCCCAGAACAUAUGGGAACCAGUGGCAAGAUUGUCUGGGACCUGAUAUUCCCCCUGAU